UAUCUCAAAAUUCCGCAACAGUCUGUUUCAUCAGUAAAGACGUGAUUCUUGAUUCUUUACUGAUGAAACAGACUGUUGCGGAAUUU